rnacentral:rRNA from 1 species
UGCAAGUCGAGCGGAAACGAUCCCAGCUUGCUGGGAGGCGUCGAGCGGCGGACGGGUGAGUAAUGCAUAGGAAUCUGCCCGGUAGUGGGGGAUAACUUGAGGAAACUCAAGCUAAUACCGCAUACGCCCUACGGGGGAAAGCAGGGGCUCUUCGGACCUUGCGCUAUCGGAUGAGCUUAUGUCGGAUUAGCUAGUUGGUGAGGUAACGGCUUACCAAGGCGACGAUCCGUAGCUGGUCUGAGAGGAUGAUCAGCCACAUCGGGACUGAGACACGGCCCGAACUCCUACGGGAGGCAGCAGUGGGGAAUAUUGGACAAUGGGCGAAAGCCUGAUCCAGCCAUGCCGCGUGUGUGAAGAAGGCCCUCGGGUUGUAAAGCACUUUCAGUGAGGAAGAAGGCUUGUCGGUUAAUACCCGGCAGGAAGGACAUCACUCACAGAAGAAGCCCCGGCUAACUCCGUGCCAGCAGCCGCGGUAAUACGGAGGGGGCAAGCGUUAAUCGGAAUUACUGGGCGUAAAGCGUGCGUAGGCGGCUUGGUAAGCCGGUUGUGAAAGCCCCGGGCUCAACCUGGGAAUGGCAUCCGGAACUGUCAGGCUAGAGUGCAGGAGAGGAAGGUAGAAUUCCCGGUGUAGCGGUGAAAUGCGUAGAGAUCGGGAGGAAUACCAGUGGCGAAGGCGGCCUUCUGGACUGACACUGACGCUGAGGUACGAAAGCGUGGGUAGCAAACAGGAUUAGAUACCCUGGUAGUCCACGCCGUAAACGAUGUCGACUAGCCGUUGGGGUCCUUGAGACCUUUGUGGCGCAGUUAACGCACUAAGUCGACCGCCUGGGGAGUACGGCCGCAAGGUUAAAACUCAAAUGAAUUGACGGGGG